UUUAGUGGAGGAGCACAUAAUCAUUUUGUGCAUUAACUUAUUAUACCCCACCAAGCAUGCUAAUGGAAAUAUUUGAUCAUGAAUGAUGGCAUGCCUAGUGGGGCACGUGUUAUCAUGGCUGGCAGCAUUAUGAUUAGUGGAUGACAAAGCCUAAUUCAUAAUUCAUCUGCUCAAAGUCAAACUAGAGAGAGAAACACUUCAUCUUCACCGAAGUUCAGUUGAAAGAGAAAAAACCACACGGCCAUGGCAGCUUUCUGAAGCUCAAGGCCAGCUCCUUUUCAACACCAUUAAAUUGUUAAUCUUCAUCUUGAUUUGGAGAAAGAAUUAUGAAUAACCAUGGCUACCAAGCUCACGUCCAUGGCAACCCUUAACCCACUUCAAGUGUUGCAAGAAAAGUUAAUUUCCUAAGGUGUUCUAGGCACUUAAAGGUUAGAGUUUAAGUUGAAGAAGAUGAAGUGGUGCAAAUGAUGCAAGUUAUUGUAGGGCUGUCCAAAUUAAAUUUGAGACCUUGUCCGUUCGGAAGCACUUCAGAAGGAAAAAGCUUUGGCGUGAAAGUUCGUGACACCUGUUCGGCAUUGAGAGUUAUUUUCAGGUGAUGUUCGGAGUCUCACGACCUUUUCGAGGCAUUCGUCAAAGGCGUUUGGGUGAGCUAUUUGAGAUCUUGCAACCCAGAGUCUCUCCUUAGAUUUCUGUUGUUCUCUAUCCUUAAACAGAAGUCGUAUCCAGUUUGAAUAUGUUAUCUACUUCAAAUUGUAAACUUCUUAGAAGCUCUUGUAUGAGUC